AGUGAACGCUGGCGGUAGGCCUAACACAUGCAAGUCGAACGGCAGCACAGUAAGAGCUUGCUCUUACGGGUGGCGAGUGGCGGACGGGUGAGGAAUACAUCGGAAUCUACUUUUUCGUGGGGGAUAACGUAGGGAAACUUACGCUAAUACCGCAUACGACCUACGGGUGAAAGCAGGGGAUCUUCGGACCUUGCGCGAUUGAAUGAGCCGAUGUCGGAUUAGCUAGUUGGCGGGGUAAAGGCCCACCAAGGCGACGAUCCGUAGCUGGUCUGAGAGGAUGAUCAGCCACACUGGAGCUGAGACACGGUCCAGACUCCUACGGGAGGCAGCAGUGGGGAAUAUUGGACAAUGGGCGCAAGCCUGAUCCAGCCAGACCGCGUGGGUGAAGAAGGCCUUCGGGUUGUAAAGCCCUUUUGUUGGGAAAGAAAAGCAGCAGGUUAAUACCCCGCUGUUCUGACGGUACCCAAAGAAUAAGCACCGGCUAACUUCGUG
rnacentral:rRNA from 1 species